CUACAGCGCUAAACGUUAACAUUGUCGCUUAUGGAAAACUAAUGGGGGUCUGUGGCCACAUGUAGAAUGUGAUUUGAAGAGUGAUUUCCCCUGUUCUCCAUCUUCUGCGGCGUAGAAUCGAGAAAACGCGGCAGGAUGCUGCGAGAACCAGCAUAAUACAGCAGGAAGCCAUGGCGACUGCCAGGACCAGUACACACCCGACCCCUGAGGGGUAGUGAGGAGAUGGAAUCAGAAGAUGUGGGCAAGACGCUCAUGGGUCAGUUAACAGCAGCUAUGUUACAGGGCACCAAGGACCAGCUACAGACAAACUUGUGGAACCAAGAUGCUGUUCUGGAGGCAGCAAAGCUGCCUCUGCCAGAAGAAGAUGAUGAGGAGGUGCUUAGA